rnacentral:rRNA from 1 species
CGGGUGAGUAAUGUCUGGGAAACUGCCCGAUGGAGGGGGAUAACUACUGGAAACGGUAGCUAAUACCGCAUAACGUCGCAAGACCAAAGAGAGGGACCUUAGGGCCUCUUGCCAUCGGAUGUGCCCAGAUGGGAUUAGCUAGUAGGUGGGGUAAUGGCUCACCUAGGCGACGAUCCCUAGCUGGUCUGAGAGGAUGACCAGCCACACUGGAACUGAGACACGGUCCAG